AAUAAGCACAUGAAAAGAUGCUCAACAUCACUUAAUUAUGAGGGAAAUGGAAAUCAUAAUCACAUUAAGAUGGGUACUAUAAAAAAUAGAAUAAAAUCCCAAGUGUUGGUGGAGAGGUGGAAAAAUUAGAACCCUAUGCCCUGGAGGUUCCUCCAGAAAAUUAAUAGUACCAUAUGAUGCAGCAAUCCUAUUUCUGGGCAUAUAUCCCAAGGAAUUGAGAACAGAGUCUCAGAGAGGUAUUUGCACACCCAUGCAUGAUUCACUAUAGCCAAAAGGUGGAAGAAACACAAGUGUUCAUCGAUGGAUGCAUCAAAAAAUAAUUUGUGGUAUGAACAUAAAAUGGAAUAUUAUUCAGCUUUUAAAAGGAAGGAAAUUCAGACAGCUGCUAUAACAUGAAUGAACUUUAAGAAAAGACAUUAUGCUAAGGGAAUUAAGCCAGCGAACAAAAAGAUAAACUGAAUUAUUUUGAUUGUGUGGGGUACCUAAUAGAGUCAAAUUCACAGGCACAGAAAGUAGAAUAGCAAUUGCCAGGGGCUAGGCAGGAGGGAAAAAUUGAGUUAUGGUUCAAUGGGUAUAGAAUUCCCAUUUGGCAAGAUGAAAAAUUUCUGGAGAUGGAUUGUAUGACGUUGCAAAUGUAUAUAACAUUCCUGAAAUGUACACUUCAAAAUGGUUAGGUUUGUGUAUUUUACCACAAUUUUUUUUAAUUGCCAAAAAAAAAAUCCAACCCAAGAAAAAUGAACAAAUGAAGUAUUUGUGGUAGGCUGAGGGAAUCGGUAGGCAGUGAUGAGUUUCAAGUCCUUUGAGACCAGAAGCAUGUUUAGGGCAACUGCACACACCUAAAAAACCCAAACUGCAAAUGAUCACUCCCCUGCCUCUCAUCCAUAAAAUCCCCUAGGGCACCAAAUAUCAAGUAGCUAGUCAGCACUGAUAUUGCACCUAGGGCAAAAAUUCACAGGGAAACUUGAACUUGGAUUUUAAGUCAAGCACUUCGUUUCGCUAAAACCCUCUAGGGCUUUGUCAUACUAAGGAGCAAAGAAAGAAGCUUUAAAAGUAGCAAUUUUUUUGUCAUUGCCAAGGUCAGACUUUAAAUCUUAAUUGAACUCGUGACUUCCUUUGAGAGGCAAAAUAAUAGACGAGAUAGCCAAAGAGCUCUUUCUGUUCCAGGAGGCACGUGGAAGGGACAGGUAUUGUGUUGUGGUCUAGAGAUCUGCCAGCAACCAAGAUGCUCAGGAUGGCGAGAGUUCCGGAAUCCUUUGUGGCCUGCUUAGAGCAGCACAUCAGGCCUCCGUCUGGCUUCUGAUGGCCCCAAAGCCAGCAAAUCCACUGCAGCCUGGAUCUUGGGGUGGGUUCUACCACUAAGUCAUUGGCAUUCUGGGUUUCUUUUCACUAUUUUUUAUCUUACAAUUUAAAAAAUGUUUUGCACUAGUUACUCCUGAGCCUUGUCCUGUCUCCACCUUCUGGUUUAAAGACUACUGGGGCCUGGAAUGUUACUGCAUCAGGGCUCCUGAUGAGCAUGGGUUUGAGGCUUCAGAGUCAGGUGCCCCCCCACCUCCACUCAGGUGACAGGGAAGGAGAGUUAGAAGUGUAGCAGAGGGGCUACUGUCUUUGCUGUGAAAGCCUGUUCUCUUAGAGAUCAUGACUGGCAGGCAGCCGACCUAUGUGGACUUAACCCCAGUUCUGCCUUCUCCUUCCUUGCUUCCCUGCCUUCCCUCGUUUUAGAACAUGUCCCCAAGUCCCUUUUUUAAGGCAACCAUCCCGUCUCCAAGGCAUGGUGUUCUGGUGGGAUUUCAAGUGACAGUAACCUCCCCCCCACCCCCCGUGCGCGCGCGCGCGCGCACACACACACACACACGUAUUGUGUGCAUGACUGCAGGUGGGCCUGUGUGAGGCCUUCCUACAUUCCUUAGCAUAUAGGUGGAGGUCAAUUCCUGUGAGCUCCCAUGACACUCUUUCUCAACUACAAGACUACUACACCCAAUAAUUAGCUGGUUGACCUUGAGCAAGUUACGUACCCUCUCCAAUCAUCCGUGCAAUGGGGGGUAAAAGUUCCCUAAGAGGAUGGCUGUGAGAAUGAGCACAGCCCACACAUGCCUAGCGCAAGGCUGGCCUUUACUAAGCACGUCUUCAUCCCCUCCAUGCAGUGGCCCAACCCUCAAAUAGCCCCACAGCCUAGCACGUCCACUGAGCUUUGCUUUCCCUCCCCUGUUAGGCCAGGUCUGUAAAGCGCUUUUGGCAAUCUGGAACUAAUAAAAGUCUAAUGAAUAAACCAAUCAUUGAACCUGUACUGGAAAUUUAUCUUCUGCAUUUAUUUCUUAAGGUUGGAAAGAAAGCAGCACUCUUAAUUAAUUUUGUACUAUCUCUUUCAGUAGGAGCGUAUGCUGGUGAUUUUCUUUUAUCAGUCCCGAAAUCCUUGUUUUUAGGAAAUAGAGGGUCUGAGGAACUUGCUCAUGAACAGCCUUGAACUAGAUUGAAACACCUGCUGAUUCUCUGGUUUUCUGUUCAGAUUUGAGAGCUGCAAGUGGCUGGCGACAAAGGAGAGAGAAACCUCCAGUGACUUCACAAGCUACUGGGCAGAGAAAGGAGGGUGCCAAUGUCAUGGAAGGCAAAGAACAGCCUGUUUUCUGAAAUCCAGGUCAAGAAGAUGAUUGAGAGGACCAACAUUACUUGGCAAGAUGCACCCAAACCUACCUGACCUAUGCACAAGUGCAGUGGAGAGUUUCUAACUGGAUGUACUGGUCAGUGUAUACACAUUCUUUGUCCUCAGUCAGGGUUUCUCACUGGUGGCACUCUGACAUCUGGGGGCUGGAUAGAUGUUCGGUAGUGCCCCUCCCUGAAGAUGUGACAAUGUCUCCAGACAAUGCCAAGUUUUUCCUGGGAAGCAAACUUGCUGUAGUGUUGGAAAUAUUCUAGAACUGCUUAAUGUGAUAGCUCACCGCUUCCUUACUGUGUGGCUACAAAUUUAAAUUCGCUUUUAAAAAGCGAUGGGUUGUCUUUUCAGUUGUGAUUACUGUCAUGCAAAAACAGGAAUGCUAAAAAGGGGCUCUAAGAGAAAUGAAAAACCAAACCAGGCUGGAAAGAAAACAUUUAUUGAAUCAAAAUCAAUACUUUCUUUUUAAUAUCUACAAGCCAACACUGAAUGAACACAAUGUACAAAAAAAGUAUGCUUAUAUUAUAAAAAUAUGUCAAUUUUAUCUUCUGGGAGCUGAGCAGAAGUCAUUUUAAACAAAAUCAAGGCAAACUUGCUCUCUAUAAUGAAACUGCUAUAAUUUAAUAACAAAAGUAAAAGCUAAUAUAUAAAGUAUCUCCAAAGGCCCACUUGAAAGGCGAUAAUGCUGCACUGGAAAUGCCAAACCCCAUCACCACAGUUAACGUUCCCCGUCUGUGCUUACUGGCACCACUUCAUGCCUCCACCAGCGGAAAGCAGCUCUUGUAUAGAACGCAGAUCACUCUUAGAAUCCAUGGCAUCAGUUAACCCUUGUUUCAGCAAACCACUAUCAGUCAAUCCUGUUUAUUUAGACUCAAAUGAGGCAUGUUGCCCAAAAUUUACAAUUCCACUUAGGAUGUGGGGAAGCUGCACCCUUCACACUCUUACAUUUAACCCUCCCUAGAAAAUCUGUGUCCAAGGUUAGUAUGUUAAAACUGUACUUGUCUCCUUGAAUUUAUUGGCACCUUCCUUGGCAUAUGUUCUUACACACAGUGUGGCUACUGCAGGUCAGUUACACGCCGAGGAGCAUAGUAAUGCUCCUGGAGUAUUUGGUCCACAGAGAAGAUGUUAAU